AAGGAUUUGAGCCUUGUGUUGGUGAAACUACCACCCAUAAUGUAAAAUAUAAUAAUUAAGAAAACAAGGUUAAAAUGCUAAAGCCAUAUGUAGGAGGAAGAGAAGUAAUCGGAAUAUAGGAUCCAGUAUAUGUUCCAUAUUCUGUGAACAAGCAAUUUUAAAUCUGGCCUCCUGCUUAUGAGUGCUAUUUAAAACUUAAAUUGUUAGCCAACAAAUGUGUAUGUUGCUCAAAUCUGUCCAACUGAACUGCAGAUUCUUGUUUGUAUUUAUAUGGUACCUUCUUCUCUACUGCAUGUUUCCUUUUAAUGCGAUGACAUGACGACCAUGGCAGUUUGCAGAUCACUCCUGCAU
rnacentral:misc_RNA from 1 species